rnacentral:rRNA from 1 species
GAUGAACGCUAGCUACAGGCUUAACACAUGCAAGUCGAGGGGUAGCAGGGUAGCAAUACCGCUGACGACCGGCGCACGGGUGAGUAACACGUAUCCAACCUUCCCAUAACUCAGGAAUAGCCUUUCGAAAGAAAGAUUAAUACCUGAUAGCACUUAAGAAAGGCAUCUUUUUUAAGUUAAAGAUUUAUCGGUUAUGGAUGGGGAUGCGUUCCAUUAGAUAGUUGGUGAGGUAAUGGCUCACCAAGUCUUCGAUGGAUAGGGGUUCUGAGAGGAAGGUCCCCCACAUUGGUACUGAGACACGGACCAAACUCCUACGGGAGGCAGCAGUGAGGAAUAUUGGUCAAUGGGCGAGAGCCUGAACCAGCCAAGUAGCGUGAAGGAUGAAGGUCCUAUGGAUUGUAAACUUCUUUUAUAGUAGAAUAAAGUGAGCCACGUGUGGUUUUUUGUAUGUAUACUAUGAAUAAGGAUCGGCUAACUCCGUGCCAGCAGCCGCAGUAAAAC